rnacentral:rRNA from 1 species
CCUUGUACACACCGCCCGUCACACCAUGGGAGUUGGUUCUACCCGAAGGCGAUGCGCUAACCGCAAGGAGGCGGUCGACCACGGUAGGGUCAGCGACUGGGGUG